ACUUCCCAAUCCUCGGUUCUCCUCCUCUCUGGCAGGAACCACUUCUUCUUGAUCACUUGGAGCAAAUGCGCUCUGAGGAUCAUUCCAUGAAGUUCCGUCGCCCUGGUGGCGAGUCCUGCUGGAGGCACCACUCCUUCGUCAACUACAAGAAAGCCAUUGUGCGUCGUGUUUUUCAGAACUUCCACUAUGCGCGACAACUUCUCCACCCCACAGAGGGUGACUAAUGCCGGUUUCGCAUCGGCAAGCUCACCAACAGUGAGAUUCCUCAUCCACGGUUCAGGAUUGGCAUCCAGAAAAGCUCAAGGAAUAUCACGCAAAGCGAGACGGUCAUCCUCAUCGAGCCAGACAUGAGAGAGGCUGCGCCGAGGACAGCGUAAAGACCCUCAUCGAUGUUUGUAUAGGAGCCCAUGGCCAUGCCAAGCAAACGGCCGUAGGCAGAGCCCAUAAGGAUGAUGGGGAGGAAGAGACCUGAUGGGACGGCAAUUCCAAAGGUAAAGAGGCCUAAAAUGCAAUACAGCACAAAGAAGAUGAGGAGAGAGGUCGUGUGGUAUUCGCUCGGAGUGUUUGUGGAAAAGAUGUUCCGAACGGCAUCAUCGUUGGUUGUGAGGAGCAGAGUGGCUAGGUCAUUGUAGUACCCAUCGGGGCAGUUAAAUUGCUUGAAGUUGCCCGAACGUCCAGUGCUGGGACAGACGGAAUCCGUGAGGGUGGGGUCGCACUUCAUGCAUUUGGCUAGGAAAGGCAGGCCAUACAGACAGAUCGAGGUGAACAAAGAGACCGUCAGGCUCAGCAGAAGUUUGUGUAUUUUUCCCUUCCUGCAAGAAAGAAAGCCUCAGUUACCCCCAUGACUUACAGACGACUAUGUUCAGGAUGCAAUACUCAGCACAUCAAAUGGUUAUUGGUUGAUGCUUUUUCAGGUUCAAUAAAUCUGGAAAGAGAAACAUUAGCAAGUUAGAGGUUCUCACUGAUUGAUCAUACUGUAGAGCCUGAGAACUUUGUGGAGGAAAUAGUUGUAGAGGCUUCCUAGAACUCCCCCUAUGAUGCCGAUCACGGUCACAGGGAUAAUGUCCAUCACAUGGUACCUCACAGUAACAUUGCUCACGUCGAACAUGAUGAGUCCUCCCUGUCCGAACAGACCACAAUUACCACUGCUGCAGUACUCAAUGAAAGCCCUAAGAACGAGCGCCACGAUGGCGGUGCUGAAGAAAGUCCUCCACAGAAGAGCACUCCUCCACCACGUGGCCACCUCUUCGAGAGAGAAGAGCACCCCGCCCACUGGAGCCCUGAAUGCCGCGCAAACACCUGAGGACGCACCGCAGGUGAUAAGAUCCCUCCUGUCCCGAUCGUUGUUGAAGUAGCGAAGCCAGCGCCACCUGAGACGGUAAUUAUCAGGGCCGCCUUGUCCGAGCAAGGACGCGAUGCAGCACCCAAUGUGCACCAGAGGUCCUUCUUUGCCUAGAUCAAGGCCUGCAGAUACUGCUCCGAUGCUUCCAACGAUCUAACACAGUGGCAUUAGUUUUCGUUAAUUCUCACGACAAAUGCUUCAAGCUUGCAUAGAUUAAAAUAUCCGUAGUCCUGCAUCAUAUAGUCCUGCUUCUUUUCCGGAAAAAAUUUUAAUCUAAGAUCACUGCAACUUGCAAGUCUCGUCGUAGUUGAUGUCAUAAAUGAAAGAGGAUGGGUUCGUUAAUCGGUAUACCCUGAUUCUCAUAUAAGUAGAAGUGAAUUUCAGUGAUGAGAUCGUUGAAUUUUCCUUGUUUUUAAGACUUUCACCAUUAAAAGCUGCUUGCGUUUUGACACCA